CUGUCUCCUCUUCCAAGUCAAUGAAAUUGAUCUGCCCGUGCAGAAGCGGACAUAAGCACAUAAGACGAGAAGACCCUAUGGAGCUUUAGACACCAGGCAGAUCACGUCAAGCAACCUUGAAUUAACAAGUAAAAACGCAGUGACCCCUAGCCCAUAUGUCUUUGGUUGGGGCGACCGCGGGGGAAAAUUAAGCCCCCAUGUGGACUGGGGGCACUGCCCCCACAGCCGAGAGCUACAGCUCUAAGCACCAGAAUAUCUGACCAAAUAUGAUCCGGCGAACGCCGAUCAACGGACCGAGUUACCCUAGGGAUAA
rnacentral:rRNA from 1 species